rnacentral:lncRNA from 1 species
GGCAUCUUUCUGAUGAUCCCAGAGGAACGGUUUACACUGAAUUUGCAGUCCAAACCAUUCUUUAGAUUCUCCACAGUCCAGGUACCUUCCACCCCUCAUCCCUUCAAGUAGUUCAAAAAGUACUUUGUUUUGUUGUCCUCAGGACUCUCAGCUAAAGCUUGCCUUGGUGCAGAGUAUCACUGAGGUCAGCUGCGCCAUCCAGGCUGUGGGUGAUUGCCCCAGCUUUGGACUCUUCUCAAAGCAGGAGGCCCUGAGGACACUGCUGGGCUGGGUAAAAGAGGAGCCCUGGGAUGUGGCAGUAUACCCCAUGCUUUUGGCCUUGGAGCAGCCGAGGUAAGCAAAGUGAAGCCAUCUCUGAGAAGGGGGGAAAAUCGCCACCUGUUGUCUGAGUGCUGCCAAAGCGUCUUUUCCCAUCCAUCCAUUGGAGAGAUAAAAGUGAGACGGAGGCCAGUGAGAGCAGCUUUGAACGUCAAGGUACUGCUGUCCCAUCCCUUCCAGUGUCCAAGUUGGGCAUGGCAGUGCACUGUGCAAGAAAACCGCAGUCAUCCUUUCCUGCUUUCAGCUCCUGCACACGUCAUGCUUGGAGGCUCUGGGCUGGCUUAUGACAGUACUUCCUGAAGCUGAAGGGCCC